rnacentral:RNase_P_RNA from 1 species
GCAGAGGGAAGCUCAUGGGUGGGUUUGGUCAUGCUACCCCAUGUCCCCUGGGGAGGUCUGAGACUAGGGCCAAAAGUCACCCUAAGGGGCCAUCUUUGAGCUUUAGGGAGAUGAGUUUCCAAAGGGAAAAAAAAAGUUCAAGGUUUCCUAAACAGGGUUCCUCUCCGUGAACACAACUCACCAAGUGC